CGCCGCCACCUCCUCCGCCUUACUACUACAAAUCUCCGCCUCCGCCUCCUCCCUACAAGUAUGAAUCGCCGCCUCCGCCUCCCUACAAGUACGAGUCGCCGCCUCCACCACCGUACUACUACAAAUCACCUCCGCCGCCCCCAUACAAGUAUGAAUCGCCGCCGCCACCACCAUACAAGUAUGAAUCGCCGCCGCCACCACCAUACAAGUAUGAAUCGCCUCCUCCACCACCAUAUAAGUACGAAUCGCCACCGCCACCACCAUACAAGUACGAGUCGCCUCCUCCACCUCCGUACAAGUAUGAAUCGCCUCCUCCCCCACCAUACUACUACAAAUCACCACCACCACCUCCUUACAAGUAUGAAUCUCCCCCUCCACCUCCAUAUUACUACAAAUCUCCACCCCCGCCACCACCUUACUACUACAAAUCACCACCACCACCUUCUCCUGUCUACAAAUAUAAAUCUCCACCACCACCACCUUACAAGUACGAAUCUCCUCCUCCACCUCCAUACUAUUACAAGUCUCCACCACCACCGCCGUAUUACUACAAGUCUCCACCACCACCACCUCCAGUUUACAAAUACAAAUCUCCUCCUCCGCCACCAUAUUACUACAAAUCACCACCUCCUCCAUCACCAGUAUAUUACUACAAAUCUCCUCCUCCACCAGCGUAUUACUACAAAUCUCCCCCACCGCCUGUCUACUAUUACAAAUCCCCGCCACCUCCAGCUUACCACUACCAAUCGCCACCCCCACCAAGUUACAAGCUGGUAGUGGUCACGGGCAAGGUCUAUUGCAACAGAUGCUGGAACACCACAAGCAGAUACCUUCAGGCAUCACCACAUGGGUCUGCUAGGUACAUUCUCAAUUGCAUUGUAUUCGAUAUUGUUCUCCUCACUCAUUUCCUCUUGAUACUGUGUGCAAUAAUGCAGGUGGCAAAGUGAAGAUCACAUGUGGCGAAUCUUACUACUACGGCUACACCAACAAGCAUGGAAUCUUUAGAAUUGAGCUCCCGCACCAAUCCUGGGAAGAAGCAAGCAGCUGCAAGGCCAAGAUUAUCAAGAGCAGCUACAUCAAGUCGUCAUGCAAUGUCAUCACGGACUACAGGUCUGGUGCAACAGGGGCCAAGCUCAAGUUCAAAUCGAAAACAGAGAAGGAGCUCGUCUUGACAGCCGGUCCUUUCAUCUAUGCAACUCCAGAGCCAUCGUCAGUCUGCUUCUACACAUCACCUCCCUAUGAGUACAAGUCACCUCCGCCACCAACACCGGUCUACCAUUACGCCUCUCCGCCACCUCCGGUCUACUACUACAAAUCGCCACCUCCUCCUUCACCGGUUUACUACUACAAAUCCCCUCCUCCUCCUUCGCCGGUCUACUAUUACAAAUCCCCGCCUCCACCACCAUACUAUUACAAGUCCCCACCUCCACCUCCGCCUAAGUAUUACUACAAGUCGCCCCCACCACCGUCUCCAUACUAUUACAAAUCCCCGCCCCCUCCACCGUACUAUUACAAAUCCCCACCACCACCUCCCUACAAAUACGAAUCGCCGCCGCCUCCUCCUUACAAAUACGAGUCCCCACCUCCACCACCUUACUAUUACAAGUCCCCACCACCACCUCCAUACAAAUAUGAAUCCCCGCCACCUCCAGUCUACAAAUAUGAGUCUCCGCCACCCCCAGUUUACAAAUACAAGUCGCCACCACCACCAUACAAGUACGAGUCACCACCACCACCUCCAUACAAGUAUGAAUCCCCGCCACCUCCACCUUAUUACUACAAGUCCCCUCCACCACCACCAUACAAGUACGAGUCGCCACCACCUCCUCCGUACAAGUAUGAAUCUCCACCACCACCAGUUUACAAAUACAAGUCACCUCCGCCGCCACCUUAUUACUACAAAUCCCCACCGCCACCUCCAUACAAGUACGAGUCUCCACCUCCUCCUCCGUACAAGUAUGAAUCUCCACCACCACCACCUUAUUACUACAAAUCCCCCCCGCCACCUCCAUACAAGUACGAGUCACCGCCUCCUCCUCCGUACAAGUAUGAAUCUCCACCACCGCCAGUUUACAAAUACAAGUCACCCCCGCCACCACCUUAUUACUACAAAUCCCCGCCACCACCUCCAUACAAGUACGAGUCUCCACCUCCUCCUCCGUACAAGUAUGAAUCUCCACCACCACCUCCUUAUUACUACAAAUCCCCGCCGCCACCUCCCUACAAGUAUGAAUCCCCGCCACCACCUCCCUACAAAUACGAGUCACCUCCACCACCACCUUACUAUUACAAAUCUCCUCCACCGCCUCCAUACAAGUAUGAGUCGCCACCACCACCAGUCUACAAAUACGAGUCUCCGCCACCCCCAGUUUACAAAUACAAGUCGCCCCCUCCACCUUAUUACUACAAGUCUCCGCCACCCCCGCCAUACAAAUAUGAAUCCCCACCUCCACCUCCCUACAAGUAUGAAUCGCCUCCUCCUCCACCUUACUACUACAAGUCCCCUCCACCACCUCCCUACAAAUAUGAAUCCCCGCCACCACCUCCCUAUAAAUACGAGUCACCACCACCACCACCUUACUAUUACAAAUCUCCUCCACCGCCUCCAUACAAGUAUGAGUCGCCACCACCACCUCCCUACAAAUACGAGUCACCACCACCACCACCUUACAAGUAUGAAUCCCCACCUCCACCUCCGUACAAGUAUGAAUCACCUCCACCGCCUCCAUACAAGUAUGAAUCCCCUCCUCCACCUCCCUACAAAUACGAGUCACCACCCCCACCACCUUAUUACUACAAAUCGCCUCCGCCACCGGAGUAUCAAUCACCUCCUUACGUGUAUAAAUCUCCAC
rnacentral:lncRNA from 1 species